UACGUAGGGUGCAAGCGUUGUCCGGAAUUAUUGGGCGUAAAGAGCUCGUAGGCGGUCUGUCGCGUCCGUUGUGAAAACUCGAGGCUCAACCUCGGGCUUGCAGUGGAUACGGGCAGACUAGAGGUAGGUAGGGGAGAACGGAAUUCCCGGUGUAGCGGUGAAAUGCGCAGAUAUCGGGAGGAACACCGGUGGCGAAGGCGGUUCUCUGGGCCUUACCUGACGCUGAGGAGCGAAAGCAUGGGGAGCGAACAGG
rnacentral:rRNA from 1 species